GAUGAACGCUGGCGGCGUGCCUAUACAUGCAAGUCGAGCGAACAGACGAGGAGCUUGCUCCUCUGACGUUAGCGGCGGACGGGUGAGUAACACGUGGAUAACCUACCUAUAAGACUGGGAUAACUUCGGGAAACCGGAGCUAAUACCGGAUAAUAUUUUGAACCGCAUGGUUCAAUAGUGAAAGACGGUUUUGCUGUCACUUAUAGAUGGAUCCGCGCCGCAUUAGCUAGUUGGUAAGGUAACGGCUUACCAAGGCAACGAUGCGUAGCCGACCUGAGAGGGUGAUCGGCCACACUGGAACUGAGACACGGUCCAGACUCCUACGGGAGGCAGCAGUAGGGAAUCUUCCGCAAUGGGCGAAAGCCUGACGGAGCAACGCCGCGUGAGUGAUGAAGGUCUUCGGAUCGUAAAACUCUGUUAUUAGGGAAGAACAAAUGUGUAAGUAACUAUGCACGUCUUGACGGUACCUAAUCAGAAAGCCACGGCUAACUACGUG
rnacentral:rRNA from 1 species